AUCAAGGCUGUUUUUAUAGCCAUAAACAUAAGAAAUAUCAAUAUUU
rfam:Astyanax mexicanus Tnplaced_Scaffold3111, whole genome shotgun sequence.